rnacentral:rRNA from 1 species
CUUUGAACGCAUCUUGCACCUUUUGGUAUUCCAAAAGGUAUGCCUGUUUGAGUGUCAU